rnacentral:rRNA from 1 species
GACGAACGCUGGCGGCGUGCCUAAUACAUGCAAGUCGAACGAGAGCGACCGGUGCUUGCACUGGUCAAUCUAGUGGCGAACGGGUGAGUAACACGUGGGUAACCUGCCCAUCAGAGGGGGAUAACAUCCGGAAACGGAUGCUAAAACCGCAUAGGUCUUCGAGCCGCAUGGCUUGAAGAGGAAAAGAGGCGCAAGCUUCUGCUGAUGGAUGGACCCGCGGUGCAUUAGCUAGUUGGUGAGGUAACGGCUCACCAAGGCCGUGAUGCAUAGCCGACCUGAGAGGGUGAUGGGCCCCAGUGAGACUGAGAACAGGCCCAACCCCCUGCGGGGGGCAGGAGUAGGAAAUCUUCCGCAAUGGACGCAAGUCUGAAGGACCAACGCCGCGGGGGUAAAGAAGGUUUUCGGGACUAAAACCUUUUUUGUUGGAAAAAAACAAGUGCAGGGAAAACUGUUGGCGCCUUGGCGGUAUUAACCAAAAAAGCCCCGGCUAACUACGU